rnacentral:rRNA from 1 species
GGUUAAGCGACUAAGCGUACACGGUGGAUGCCCUGGCAGUCAGAGGCGAUGAAGGACGUGCUAAUCUGCGAUAAGCGUCGGUAAGGUGAUAUGAACCGUUAUAACCGGCGAUUUCCGAAUGGGGAAACCCAGUGUGAUUCGUCACACUAUCAUUAACUGAAUCCAUAGGUUAAUGAGGCGAACCGGGGGAACUGAAACAUCUAAGUACCCCGAGGAAAAGAAAUCAACCGAGAUUCCCCCAGUAGCGGCGAGCGAACGGGGAGCAGCCCAGAGCCUGAAUCAGUGUGUGUGUUAGUGGAAGCGUCUGGAAAGGCGCGCGAUACAGGGUGACAGCCCCGUACACAAAAAUGCACAUGCUGUGAGCUCGAUGAGUAGGGCGGGACACGUGGUAUCCUGUCUGAAUAUGGGGGGACCAUCCUCCAAGGCUAAAUACUCCUGACUGACCGAUAGUGAACCAGUACCGUGAGGGAAAGGCGAAAAGAACCCCGGCGAGGGGAGUGAAAAAGAACCUGAAACCGUGUACGUACAAGCAGUGGGAGCCUCUUUAUGGGGUGACUGCGUACCUUUUGUAUAAUGGGUCAGCGACUUAUAUUCUGUAGCAAGGUUAACCGAAUAGGGGAGCCGAAGGGAAACCGAGUCUUAACUGGGCGUUAAGUUGCAGGGUAUAGACCCGAAACCCGGUGAUCUAGCCAUGGGCAGGUUGAAGGUUGGGUAACACUAACUGGAGGACCGAACCGACUAAUGUUGAAAAAUUAGCGGAUGACUUGUGGCUGGGGGUGAAAGGCCAAUCAAACCGGGAGAUAGCUGGUUCUCCCCGAAAGCUAUUUAGGUAGCGCCUCGUGAAUUCAUCUCCGGGGGUAGAGCACUGUUUCGGCAAGGGGGUCAUCCCGACUUACCAACCCGAUGCAAACUGCGAAUACCGGAGAAUGUUAUCACGGGAGACACACGGCGGGUGCUAACGUCCGUCGUGAAGAGGGAAACAACCCAGACCGCCAGCUAAGGUCCCAAAGUCAUGGUUAAGUGGGAAACGAUGUGGGAAGGCCCAGACAGCCAGGAUGUUGGCUUAGAAGCAGCCAUCAUUUAAAGAAAGCGUAAUAGCUCACUGGUCGAGUCGGCCUGCGCGGAAGAUGUAACGGGGCUAAACCAUGCACCGAAGCUGCGGCAGCGACACUAUGUGUUGUUGGGUAGGGGAGCGUUCUGUAAGCCUGUGAAGGUGUACUGUGAGGUAUGCUGGAGGUAUCAGAAGUGCGAAUGCUGACAUAAGUAACGAUAAAGCGGGUGAAAAGCCCGCUCGCCGGAAGACCAAGGGUUCCUGUCCAACGUUAAUCGGGGCAGGGUGAGUCGACCCCUAAGGCGAGGCCGAAAGGCGUAGUCGAUGGGAAACAGGUUAAUAUUCCUGUACUUGGUGUUACUGCGAAGGGGGGACGGAGAAGGCUAUGUUGGCCGGGCGACGGUUGUCCCGGUUUAAGCGUGUAGGCUGGUUUUCCAGGCAAAUCCGGAAAAUCAAGGCUGAGGCGUGAUGACGAGGCACUACGGUGCUGAAGCAACAAAUGCCCUGCUUCCAGGAAAAGCCUCUAAGCAUCAGGUAACAUCAAAUCGUACCCCAAACCGACACAGGUGGUCAGGUAGAGAAUACCAAGGCGCUUGAGAGAACUCGGGUGAAGGAACUAGGCAAAAUGGUGCCGUAACUUCGGGAGAAGGCACGCUGAUAUGUAGGUGAAGCGACUUGCUCGUGGAGCUGAAAUCAGUCGAAGAUACCAGCUGGCUGCAACUGUUUAUUAAAAACACAGCACUGUGCAAACACGAAAGUGGACGUAUACGGUGUGACGCCUGCCCGGUGCCGGAAGGUUAAUUGAUGGGGUUAGCGGUAACGCGAAGCUCUUGAUCGAAGCCCCGGUAAACGGCGGCCGUAACUAUAACGGUCCUAAGGUAGCGAAAUUCCUUGUCGGGUAAGUUCCGACCUGCACGAAUGGCGUAAUGAUGGCCAGGCUGUCUCCACCCGAGACUCAGUGAAAUUGAACUCGCUGUGAAGAUGCAGUGUACCCGCGGCAAGACGGAAAGACCCCGUGAACCUUUACUAUAGCUUGACACUGAACAUUGAGCCUUGAUGUGUAGGAUAGGUGGGAGGCUUUGAAGUGUGGACGCCAGUCUGCAUGGAGCCGACCUUGAAAUACCACCCUUUAAUGUUUGAUGUUCUAACGUUGACCCGUGAUCCGGGUUGCGGACAGUGUCUGGUGGGUAGUUUGACUGGGGCGGUCUCCUCCUAAAGAGUAACGGAGGAGCACGAAGGUUGGCUAAUCCUGGUCGGACAUCAGGAGGUUAGUGCAAUGGCAUAAGCCAGCUUGACUGCGAGCGUGACGGCGCGAGCAGGUGCGAAAGCAGGUCAUAGUGAUCCGGUGGUUCUGAAUGGAAGGGCCAUCGCUCAACGGAUAAAAGGUACUCCGGGGAUAACAGGCUGAUACCGCCCAAGAGUUCAUAUCGACGGCGGUGUUUGGCACCUCGAUGUCGGCUCAUCACAUCCUGGGGCUGAAGUAGGUCCCAAGGGUAUGGCUGUUCGCCAUUUAAAGUGGUACGCGAGCUGGGUUUAGAACGUCGUGAGACAGUUCGGUCCCUAUCUGCCGUGGGCGCUGGAGAACUGAGGGGGGCUGCUCCUAGUACGAGAGGACCGGAGUGGACGCAUCACUGGUGUUCGGGUUGUCAUGCCAAUGGCACUGCCCGGUAGCUAAAUGCGGAAGAGAUAAGUGCUGAAAGCAUCUAAGCACGAAACUUGCCCCGAGAUGAGUUCUCCCUGACUCCCUGAGAGUCCUGAAGGAACGUUGAAGACGACGACGUUGAUAGGCCGGGUGUGUAAGCGCAGCGAUGCGUUGAGCUAACCGGUACUAAUGAACCGUGAGGCUUAACCUU